UACGUAGGGGGCAAGCGUUAUCCGGAAUUAUUGGGCGUAAAGCGCGCGCAGGCGGUUUCUUAAGUCUGAUGUGAAAGCCCACGGCUCAACCGCGGAGGGUCAUUGGAAACUGGGGAACUUGAGUGCAGAAGAGAAAAGCGGAAUUCCACGUGUAGCGGUGAAAUGCGUAGAGAUGUGGAGGAACACCAGUGGCGAAGGCGGCUUUUUGGUCUGUAACUGACGCUGAGGCGCGAAAGCGUGGGGAGCAAACAGG
rnacentral:rRNA from 1 species